rnacentral:tRNA from 2 species
GCGAAAGUGGCGAAAUGGCAGACGCACUACCUUGAGGUGGUAGCGAGGUUUCCUCAUGGGGGUUCAAGUCCCCCCUUUCGCA